UUAAGCGACUAAGCGUACACGGUGGAUGCCCUGGCAGUCAGAGGCGAUGAAGGACGUGCUAAUCUGCGAAAAGCGUCGGUAAGGUGAUAUGAACCGUUAUAACCGGCGAUGUCCGAAUGGGGAAACCCAGUGCAAUUCGUUGCACUAUCGUUAACUGAAUACAUAGGUUAACGAGGCGAACCGGGGGAACUGAAACAUCUAAGUACCCCGAGGAAAAGAAAUCAACCGAGAUUCCCCCAGUAGCGGCGAGCGAACGGGGAGCAGCCCAGAGUCUGAAUCAGCUUGUGUGUUAGUGGAACGGUCUGGAAAGUCCGACGGUACAGGGUGAUAGUCCCGUACACCAAAAUGCACAGGUUGUGAACUCGAAGAGUAGGGCGGGACACGUGGUAUCCUGUCUGAAUAUGGGGGGACCAUCCUCCAAGGCUAAAUACUCCUGACUGACCGAUAGUGAACCAGUACCGUGAGGGAAAGGCGAAAAGAACCCCGGCGAGGGGAGUGAAAAAGAACCUGAAACCGUGUACGUACAAGCAGUGGGAGCACCUUCGGGUGUGACUGCGUACCUUUUGUAUAAUGGGUCAGCGACUUAUAUUCUGUAGCAAGGUUAACCGUAUAGGGGAGCCGCAGGGAAACCGAGUCUUAACUGGGCGUUAAGUUGCAGGGUAUAGACCCGAAACCCGGUGAUCUAGCCAUGGGCAGGUUGAAGGUUGGGUAACACUAACUGGAGGACCGAACCGACUAAUGUUGAAAAAUUAGCGGAUGACUUGUGGCUGGGGGUGAAAGGCCAAUCAAACCGGGAGAUAGCUGGUUCUCCCCGAAAGCUAUUUAGGUAGCGCCUCGUGAACUCAUCUUCGGGGGUAGAGCACUGUUUCGGCUAGGGGGUCAUCCCGACUUACCAACCCGAUGCAAACUACGAAUACCGAAGAAUGUUAUCACGGGAGACACACGGCGGGUGCUAACGUCCGUCGUGAAGAGGGAAACAACCCAGACCGCCAGCUAAGGUCCCAAAGUCAUGGUUAAGUGGGAAACGAUGUGGGAAGGCACAGACAGCCAGGAUGUUGGCUUAGAAGCAGCCAUCAUUUAAAGAAAGCGUAAUAGCUCACUGGUCGAGUCGGCCUGCGCGGAAGAUGUAACGGGGCUAAACCAUGCACCGAAGCUGCGGCAGCGACACUAUGUGUUGUUGGGUAGGGGAGCGUUCUGUAAGCCUGCGAAGGUGUGCUGUGAGGCAUGCUGGAGGUAUCAGAAGUGCGAAUGCUGACAUAAGUAACGAUAAAGCGGGUGAAAAGCCCGCUCGCCGGAAGACCAAGGGUUCCUGUCCAACGUUAAUCGGGGCAGGGUGAGUCGACCCCUAAGGCGAGGCCGAAAGGCGUAGUCGAUGGGAAACAGGUUAAUAUUCCUGUACUUGGUGUUACUGCGAAGGGGGGACGGAGAAGGCUAUGUUAGCCGGGCGACGGUUGUCCCGGUUUAAGCAUGUAGGCUGAUUGUCCAGGCAAAUCCGGAUAAUCAAGGCUGAGGUGUGAUGACGAGGCACUACGGUGCUGAAGUAACAAAUGCCCUGCUUCCAGGAAAAGCCUCUAAGCAUCAGGUAACAUUAAAUCGUACCCCAAACCGACACAGGUGGUCAGGUAGAGAAUACCAAGGCGCUUGAGAGAACUCGGGUGAAGGAACUAGGCAAAAUGGUGCCGUAACUUCGGGAGAAGGCACGCUGGUGUGUAGGUGAAGCCCCUGCGGGUGGAGCUGAGACCAGUCGAAGAUACCAGCUGGCUGCAACUGUUUAUUAAAAACACAGCACUGUGCAAACACGAAAGUGGACGUAUACGGUGUGACGCCUGCCCGGUGCCGGAAGGUUAAUUGAUGGGGUUAUCCGUAAGGAGAAGCUCUUGAUCGAAGCCCCGGUAAACGGCGGCCGUAACUAUAACGGUCCUAAGGUAGCGAAAUUCCUUGUCGGGUAAGUUCCGACCUGCACGAAUGGCGUAAUGAUGGCCAGGCUGUCUCCACCCGAGACUCAGUGAAAUUGAACUCGCUGUGAAGAUGCAGUGUACCCGCGGCAAGACGGAAAGACCCCGUGAACCUUUACUAUAGCUUGACACUGAACAUUGAGCCUUGAUGUGUAGGAUAGGUGGGAGGCUUUGAAGCGUGGACGCCAGUCUGCGUGGAGCCAACCUUGAAAUACCACCCUUUAAUGUUUGAUGUUCUAACGUUGGCCCCUGACCGGGGUUGCGGACAGUGUCUGGUGGGUAGUUUGACUGGGGCGGUCUCCUCCCAAAGCGUAACGGAGGAGCACGAAGGUUAGCUAAUCCUGGUCGGACAUCAGGAGGUUAGUGCAAUGGCAUAAGCUAGCUUGACUGCGAGCGUGACGGCGCGAGCAGGUGCGAAAGCAGGUCAUAGUGAUCCGGUGGUUCUGAAUGGAAGGGCCAUCGCUCAACGGAUAAAAGGUACUCCGGGGAUAACAGGCUGAUACCGCCCAAGAGUUCAUAUCGACGGCGGUGUUUGGCACCUCGAUGUCGGCUCAUCACAUCCUGGGGCUGAAGUAGGUCCCAAGGGUAUGGCUGUUCGCCAUUUAAAGUGGUACGCGAGCUGGGUUUAGAACGUCGUGAGACAGUUCGGUCCCUAUCUGCCGUGGGCGCUGGAGAAUUGAGGGGGGCUGCUCCUAGUACGAGAGGACCGGAGUGGACGCAUCACUGGUGUUCGGGUUGUCAUGCCAAUGGCACUGCCCGGUAGCUAAAUGCGGAAGAGAUAAGUGCUGAAAGCAUCUAAGCACGAAACUUGCCCCGAGAUGAGUUCUCCCUGAGACUUUAAGUCUCCUGAAGGAACGUUGAAGACGACGACGUUGAUAGGCCGGGUGUGUAAGCGCAGCGAUGCGUUGAGCUAACCGGUACUAAUGAACCGUGAGGCUUAACCUU
rnacentral:rRNA from 1 species